GACGAACGCUGGCGGCGUGCCUAAUACAUGCAAGUAGAACGCUGAAGGAGGAGCUUGCUUCUCUGGAUGAGUUGCGAACGGGUGAGUAACGCGUAGGUAACCUGCCUGGUAGCGGGGGAUAACUAUUGGAAACGAUAGCUAAUACCGCAUAAGAGUGGAUGUUGCAUGACAUUUACUUGAAAGGUGCAAUUGCAUCACUACCAGAUGGACCUGCGUUGUAUUAGCUAGUUGGUGAGGUAACGGCUCACCAAGGCGACGAUACAUAGCCGACCUGAGAGGGUGAUCGGCCACACUGGGACUGAGACACGGCCCAGACUCCUACGGGAGGCAGCAGUAGGGAAUCUUCGGCAAUGGACGGAAGUCUGACCGAGCAACGCCGCGUGAGUGAAGAAGGUUUUCGGAUCGUAAAGCUCUGUUGUAAGAGAAGAACGAGUGUGAGAGUGGAAAGUUCACACUGUGACGGUAUCUUACCAGAAAGGGACGGCUAACUACGUGCCAGCAGCCGCGGUAAUACGUAGGUCCCGAGCGUUGUCCGGAUUUAUUGGGCGUAAAGCGAGCGCAGGCGGUUAGAUAAGUCUGAAGUUAAAGGCUGUGGCUUAACCAUAGUACGCUUUGGAAACUGUUUAACUUGAGUGCAAGAGGGGAGAGUGGAAUUCCAUGUGUAGCGGUGAAAUGCGUAGAUAUAUGGAGGAACACCGGUGGCGAAAGCGGCUCUCUGGCUUGUAACUGACGCUGAGGCUCGAAAGCGUGGGGAGCAAACAGGAUUAGAUACCCUGGUAGUCCACGCCGUAAACGAUGAGUGCUAGGUGUUAGACCCUUUCCGGGGUUUAGUGCCGUAGCUAACGCAUUAAGCACUCCGCCUGGGGAGUACGACCGCAAGGUUGAAACUCAAAGGAAUUGACGGGGGCCCGCACAAGCGGUGGAGCAUGUGGUUUAAUUCGAAGCAACGCGAAGAACCUUACCAGGUCUUGACAUCCCUCUGACCGCUCUAGAGAUAGAGCUUUCCUUCGGGACAGAGGUGACAGGUGGUGCAUGGUUGUCGUCAGCUCGUGUCGUGAGAUGUUGGAUUAAGUCCCGCAACGAGCGCAACCCCUAUUGUUAGUUGCCAUCAUUCAGUUGGGCACUCUAGCGAGACUGCCGGUAAUAAACCGGAGGAAGGUGGGGAUGACGUCAAAUCAUCAUGCCCCUUAUGACCUGGGCUACACACGUGCUACAAUGGCUGGUACAACGAGUCGCAAGCCGGUGACGGCAAGCUAAUCUCUUAAAGCCAGUCUCAGUUCGGAUUGUAGGCUGCAACUCGCCUACAUGAAGUCGGAAUCGCUAGUAAUCGCGGAUCAGCACGCCGCGGUGAAUACGUUCCCGGGCCU
rnacentral:rRNA from 1 species